rnacentral:rRNA from 1 species
GACGAACGCUGGCGGCGUGCUUAACACAUGCAAGUCGAACGGAAAGGCCCUGCUUUUGUGGGGUGCUCGAGUGGCGAACGGGUGAGUAACACGUGAGUAACCUGCCCUUGACUUUGGGAUAACUUCAGGAAACUGGGGCUAAUACCGGAUAGGAGCUCCUGCUGCAUGGUGGGGGGUGGAAAGUUUCGGCGGUUAGGGAUGGACUCGCGGCUUAUCAGCUUGUUGGUGGGGUAGUGGCUUACCAAGGCUUUGACGGGUAGCCGGCCUGAGAGGGUGACCGGCCACAUUGGGACUGAGGGACGGCCCAGACUCCAACGGGAGGCAGCAGUGGGGAAUAUUGCACAAUGGGGGGAAGCCUAAUGCAGCAACGCCGCGUGCGGGAUGACGGCCUUCGGGUUGUAAACCGCUUACGCCUGUGACGAAGCGUGAGUGACGGUAAUGGGUAAAGAAGCACCGGCUAACUACGUG